rnacentral:rRNA from 1 species
UACGUAGGGGGCGAGCGUUGUCCGGAAUUAUUGGGCGUAAAGCGCGUGUAGGCGGGAUUUUAAGUCGGAUGUGAAACCCUUGGGCUCAACCCAGGACCUGCAUUCGAAACUGGAAUUCUUGAGGGCGGGAGAGGAAAGCGGAAUUCCUAGUGUAGCGGUGAAAUGCGUAGAUAUUAGGAGGAACACCAGUGGCGAAGGCGGCUUUCUGGCCCGUACCUGACGCUGAGACGCGAAAGCGUGGGGAGCAAACAGG